rnacentral:siRNA from 1 species
CUUGGGAUCUUCAUAUGUUGGG